AGUCUACUCUUUCCCCACUGAACUGUGUGUCUUCAUGGGGAGUUUGACUUUGCUUCUCUCUCUGGUGCCUUCUGGAGCCUGGAGGCUCUCAACUUCCAUUUCAACUGCCUGACCUGGGCCAGCCAUAUCUCCAUGACCCAUCUCCCACCUGGACCCAUUGCUAGGGUGGGCGGAUCCCAGAGGCCAGGCUGUUGGAUUUCUGCAUGACUGGCCUUUUUCUCUUUGCAGUUUAAUUGUCGGGACAUCAGACUAACAGUGACAAUAACACAUCUCUGCAAAAUAUAGGCCACAGAGCGCUGGUGGAGGUAGAGGUGGGGGCAGGUGUAUGUGUCUUGUUGGAGGGUUUCAAAAAUGGAAGACAUUUCCCUAAAGUUUGAUCGUCAAUGACCUUGUCUUCUAGUGAUCUUCCUUUAAGUUUCUUGUGUGCAUAUCUGAUUUCUCCAACUAAACUAAUUAAUUUAUUUGAUAACGCAUACUACUUGGUUAGCAUUGUGAUAAAUUUUUAAAGGUAUUUACUUUUUAUGUUUAAUUCUAGCAACAAAUCCCUGAUUUGUUGGUAGAAUCGGUACAGUUAACAUCCCCAUUUUAAGAUGAGUAAACUGAGGCCUGUGGGUGGGAAAGGCCGACUUCAAAAUGAGGCAGAACGCUUCACCACUAUAUUGCUUCUUGCAUUAAACCUUUUCCUGCUCUGAGUGAGCGGGGUGGAACCGAUCCUCUAUUCCUCCCCAGGUCAUUCACUACUUAAAAAAAAAAUCCAUGGAUUCUUUUAAUACAUGCUUGUUGUGUGUGUCCAGGCUCUGAGGAUGGUGGUGGACUAGUCAGACCAGCUGCCUCUUCUUGUCGGGACAGGACUCAUGCCCGAGCUCUGUUUCUGAUCAGUUUGCAAGGAGAAUGUAUAUACCCACAUUGCCACUUACCACGAGGAAGCUCGGCUUUUCAGCGUUGCCUAAGUGCUUGAGUUGCAAAGGUUCAGCAACCCAGCUUGUGUUGGGUGGACUGGAAAAAGGAGACAGGGUCCACUUUUUGGUUACGCAGUGGGCUGCCUUCAACCCCCCACUCCCCUCUUUUCUGGCAGAAAGGGGCUGGAGUGAAGGUGCGGGGUGGGUGUUGGGGAGUGGCAGAAAGCGGUUUCCCUAGGGGCGGGGCCCGGGGUAAGGCCGACCACAGUUAUUCCAGGAUUAUGACUCAAAGCACACUAACAAGAAGCAUUUAUUACCUCCGAAGUAGUGCUGGCUCUGUAGUGCUGAAUGGAGAGGUGAGGUAUUGCAGCUGUUAUCUUUUGAACUAACUGCUAUUGCGUGUCCCAUGACCAGCCGUGGCAGGGUUUUUGUUCCCAUGAAUGAAUGGGCUAUAAAUCUGUCGGAGCUGACAGUAGCAGCAGUACUAGAGGGUGUAAAGAGAAAAUGUGCAGAAGAAUCUUGUGGUCUUUGCUUGCCUAGAAAAUGAGUUCAAUAAAAUGGAGGUGAUCAGUGCUUAUUUAUAGGGCAAACGGAUACAUCCAGCAUUGGCCGUCAGAGCCUAACUUAGUGUUUUCUCAUUUACAGUCACUCUGUUGUAAAGCACAUCUGUGCACCGAGGGCACUCGUGGAGCUUCCAGCAAUUGCAGUGGUGGAGACACGUGCAGAUAAAGGGGUGUUUUCCUCUCUGUUUCUAAGCUUCAGGAGCCUUCAGAGGUAGCUGUCUGGAGAGCUGUAGUUUUGAGGGUUCUAACAGGCAGGAAAACCCGAGGCCGAGAACAGCUCCUUAUUUAUAUUUCAGUUUUGAGGGUGAAUGGCAGGAAAUGGAAUAAAAUUAAUCGCCAUUUUUUCAGGCCCCUGAAACAAUAAAUUUCAGCAGCCAUAAAUUUGGAGCUGGGUUAAGUACUGAAAACAAUUUAUUGCUAUUUUUUCCCUUAAUUGCAUUCCCAAGAAGAAGGGUUUGGUGCUUACUGGUGGCAUUAUUAUAUAAAAAUUAUUCGUUAGAAAGCACAAUGAACAGUAAAUCAGAAGCUUACCUGAAAUAGGGUCAGGGUUCCUCACAAUUCAUCUUCGCCCCCACCCAGCCUGUCUCCAGCGAAGUCUUCAGGAAAGAAAAGGAUCAGAGAAAAUGCUCCCGCUGUCCCCUCGCCCCUCCUCCGUGACACUGUGUGCAGAUUAGGUGUUGAUUCAAUAAGAUGCUUCACCUUCUAAAAGUGAUAGUGUGAGUCACGUGUGGAAGCAGAGGGGACAUAAUGGAACGAUCACUGCACGGCAUCCCUGCCUCGUUUAAUUUGUUUUGAGGCUGCUAGCCGUGUCAGGCUAACUGCAGUCGAGGCCAAUCAACAGCCUGACCCUGUUGGUGGAGAAAGUUGAAAGAUAGUGGCAUUGUGUCAGAAGCUGCUGGGAUGAAGUCAACAUCCGUUCCUGUCUCCCCUUGGGAGAGCCAUGUUCCAGGGCAAAGAGAGUGAUGGAUUUGCCAUUCCAAACCAGCCAUAAGUGGAGCCUGUGCCCAUCGGAGAGCUGCUGGUGGCUGAAACUGCAAUUCUGAUAGCCAUUUGGGGAAGAGCCAAUGGGUGCCAAGUGUUUAUGAUGUGACAAGUACAUCUGCAUCACUGAUGGUGAGAGUCUCACUCUGUCUCCUAGGCUGGAGUGCAGUGGCGUGAUCUCAUCUCAUUGCAACCUCCACCUCCUGGAUUCAAGUGAUUCUCCCGCCUUGACUUCCCAAGUAGCUGGGUUUACGGUGCCUGCCACCACACCUGGCUAAUUUUUGUAUUUUUAGUAGAGAUGAGGUUUCACCAUGUUGGCCAGGAUGGUCUUGAACUCCCGACCUCAGGCCACCCAAGGCAGAGGCUCACAGAUGGAACUGCAGGCCACAGUAUCACCCCAUCCCUCACUCUUAUGACAACUAAUUAUCAAGAAAUUUCUGUAAAAUGAAAUCAUUAUACAAAAAAAAAAAAAAAA
rnacentral:lncRNA from 1 species